ACGAUCGUAUGUAUGCUGGGAGAUGUGGACUUAAACCACUUUUUGAGGAAGGAGUUAAAUUGUUUAUUACAUGGGCAUUUGAUUAAGAAUGUUGUCGGACAGAGGGAGGAGUGAGAUGUCCGUGUGUUAAAUGUGGAUGUAGACGUAUAAUAAGUGAUCCGAAAGAAGUAGAAACUCAUUUGAAGAGAAAGGGAUUUAAGGAAAAUUUUUGGGUUUGGACAUCAAAUGGGGAAGAAAUGCCAAUGAAUAUGCUAGAGACUAGUAAUUUCCAACGUGGCUCCAGUAGUCGAUCACAGAUGGAAUAUGAAGAACAAUUUGAUCUACACGAUGACAUGAUUGGCGAUGCUUUAGGGGUGAAUAUGACCUACGAUGAACAACAAGAUAGUGAUGAGGAAGAGUUGCCGAAUGAGAAAGCUCAAAAAUUUUACAAGUUGUUAAAAGAAAUAAACACGCCACUGUUUGAGGGUUCGUCAGACUCUAAAUUAUCUAUGUGUGUGAGAUUGUUGGUUGCGAAGUCAAAUUGGAAUGUUCCUGAUUAGUCUCUGGAAUUCUUUUGUCAAAUGAUGUUGGAUGCGACUCCUACGAAAGACAAUUUUCCUAGAAGUUAUUAUGACGCGAAGAGGUUGGUUAUGAAGUUGGGUUUAGAAGUAAGGAAGAUUGAUUGUUGCAUUAAAGGUUGCAUGUUGUUCUAUGAUAAUGAGUUUGGUACAAACGAUAGAGCGUUAGAGGAAUGCAAGUUUUGUAAUAGUCCAAGGUAUGUAGUUCUCACUAAAGCCAUUGAUCGUAAUAAAAAACGUAUAGCAGUGAAAUCAAUGUUUUAUUUGCCGAUAAUACCAAGGUUGCAGAGAUUGUUUGCUUCAAUGCACAAUGCAAGUCAAAUGACAUGGCAUCAUACAAACAAAAUAAGUACAGGCACUAUGCGACAUCCAUCUGAUGGUGAGGCAUGGAAGCACUUUGAUCGGAUACAUCCUGAUUUUGCUGCAGAACCUAGAAAUGUCAGACUUGGAUUGUGCUCAGAUGGUUUUACUCCAUAUGUCCAACAGUCGGGAACUGCAUAUUCUUGUUGGCCGGUUAUUGUUACCCCUUACAACCUCCCUCCUGAGAUGUGCAUGACAAAGCCUUACAUGUUUUUGACUUGCCUCAUUCCAGGGCCGUCGAGUCCAAGAGCAGGAAUUGAUGUGUAUUUAUAACCUUUAAUUGAUUAUUUAAAGAGGUUGUGGAUUGGAGAAUGUACUUAUGACAUAUCUCGUAAACAAAACUUCAACAUGAUAGCUGCUUUGAUGUGGACUAUUAACGAUUUUCCCGCAUAUGCCAUGUUGUCUGGUUGGGGUACACAUGGUAAAAUGGGAUGUCCUCAUUGCAUGAAUGAGACAAAGGCGUUUACAUUGGAUAAUGGAGGAAAAAGUACGUGGUUUGACUGUCAUCGUAGGUUCCUACCAAAAAACCACAUACUUAGAAAAAACAAGAAUGAUUUCAGAAAAGAUAUAAAAGUAACAGAUCUGCCUCCCCCUCGUUUGUCAUCAGUUGAAGUAAGGAACAUGGUUCGUGAUCUACCAAAAUUCACAGACAAUGGAAAAGCGAUCAGAAUUCCAGGAUAUGGGGACAAACACAAUUGGACUAAAAGAAGUAUUUGUUGGGAUCUUCCAUAUUGGAAAGAUAACUUAUUGCGACAUAAUCUUGAUGUUAUGCAUAUAGAAAAGAAUUUUUUCGAUAAUGUGUUUAACACAGUGAUGGAUGUCCAAGGCAAGACAAGAGAUAAUGAGAAUGCUAGAAAAGAUAUGGAAUUGUUGUGUAAUCGAAAAUAUUUAGAGUUAAAGACUCUACUAAAUGGGAAGCUAUUAAAACCCAAAGCUACUUAUAAUCUAACUCCACAAGAAGCCAAGCUUGUUUUCCAAUGGUUAACUGAAUUGAGAAUGCCCGAUGGUUAUGCUUCUAACUUGGCAAGAUGUGCUAACGCCAACACUGGCAAGGUGACUGUAAUGAAAAGUCAUGAUUGCCAUGUUUUCAUGGAACGAUUUCUUCCAAUUGCCUUCAGCUCAUUGCCAACACAAGUGCUCAAUCCACUAACUGAAAUUAGUCAGUUUUUUUGAGAUAUUUGUGCAUCAAUUUUAAGAGUCUAUGACUUAAUUAAGUUGGACCAAGACAUUCCUCUCAUUCUAUGCAAGUUGGAACAAAUUUUUCCACCUGGUUUUUUGGAUUCAAUGGAACAUCUUCUUGUGCAUCUUGCAUAUGAAGCUUUUCUGGGUGGACCUGUUCAAUAUAGGUGGAUGAAUCCUUUUGAAAGAUUCAUGGGUGAUUCAAAUAGAUCUGUGAAAAAUAAGGCUACAGUGGAGGGUUCGAUAUGUGCACAUUAUUUGCAUCGGGAAACAUCUCAUUUUUGCUCUCAUUAUUUCAAUCACAUGAUGUUAAUUCAAAGAAUCACAAGGAAUGAAGUUAAUGUUACAGAAAGAAGUCAAUUCACCUUAUCCAUCUUCGGACUUCCUGGUCGUAGUUCUGGAAUUGCAAUCUGCUCAUGUUCAUGUAUUGAUUAAUUGCGUUGAAGUUAAACCAUACAUUGAGUUAUAUAAUAACUUCCAUUAUGAACUCACCGGUGAACAAGCAACAACCACUGAUAUACAUGCUUAUUUUCCAUCAUGGUUUAAGCAACAAUUGGCAUGUAAUGUCGAAUCAUCUCCACAACUACUCCAUUUGAGAAACUUGGCUGAAGGCCCUAUUAAACGUGCAAAGAAAUGGCACACAUACUUUGUAAACAGAUAUAAAUUUCAUACUGAUGAAUGGACAGAAGGAAAGAAAACCAUAAAUAGUGGCGUGUUUGUAAAAGGAGUUACAAAUGGUGGUGAAGAUGACUUCUAUGGUGUUAUCACACACAUUUACGAGUUGGAAUACAAUUAUUUAGAUUCGGAAAACAAAGUUGUCUUGUUUUAUUGUGAUUGGUAUGAUCCAUCUGCUAGAGGCACAAAAAUAAAUAAAAAAAUAUAACACCGUAGAGAUUAAAAUGGAUCGAAGGUACAAGCAUUAUGAUCAUUUCAUCAUGGCACAUCUUGUCAUGCAAGUUUAUUAUGUCCAUUGUCCUUCAAUUCACCGAGCUAAGCGUGAUUGGUGUGUUGUAAUCAAGUCAAAACCAAUAGGCCAUAUUGAAACUGAUGAACUUGUAGAAGACCUUGCUUAUCAAGUCGAUGAAAUGUCACAAAAUAAUCAUGUGAUUGAAGUUGAACAACUUACAAGUUUGUGUGAUAACGAAGUUGAGGGUCAGCAAGUUGAUGCGUCUGGAUUGUUGCCAUCAAAUAAUGUGGAUGAAGAUGACGAAGAGUCAGAAGCUGAAGAUAAUUUUGAAUCAAAUGAAGAUAAUGAAGAUUUUGAAUGAUGAUGCAUCUAGUAUUUUAAUAUAUAUUGUAAUGAAUCUAGUAAUCAAUCUAGUAUUUUAAUAUGUAGAUGCAUUUAAUAUGUUCAAACUUUUAAUACAUAUUGUAAUGAAUCUAGUAUUUUAAUGAAGCUUUUGUUGUCCUUUAAUAUGUUUAAACUAAAUAUACAUAUUGUUUAUCUUAAUGAUGCAUAUUGUUUAUUAAAUAUGUUAUAAUCAAAUUCUUUUCUUUU